CGGGACUUUGUUUUUCACCCAGUGCCCACUUCCUGCCCCCAGGGUCCCCAAGACCCCACGUGACAUUUAGCCACCACAUCUCCUUGGACCCCCCUGGAAGGAGAGUUGCCCAGACUUCCCUUGUUCGGAGGAUGAUGGGCCGGGCGUCCCGUAGAGUGUCCCUCCGGGGGAUCUGGUCCCCAGGUGACUCUCAACUCGGAGCCUUCGCGGAGCACGCUCUCAACCGCGUUCACCCGGCCACAGACAGAAGACUGAGGCCGGGAGGUACGCGUUGCACCCCCAGAUCUCCAGCUGGGGUUGGACCCGGGGGCCCGGCUUCCUGACCCUCCAGCCUCCCGGGAUGGCCCUGGCCACCGUGGCAGCUGCUGGUGUCGGCAGGGCAGGGGAAGCCAGGCCCUCUCCCGUCUGCACCAGAGGCCUGUCGUCCCCACCGCCGGGGAGGCUGUCGAAGCUGCUCCCCAGCCCUGCUGCACCGGGACACCCCCGAAGGGCAGGCGGCCAAGGAAGGUGCCAUCUGGUUCACUCCGGCCCCUGCCCCAUGAUCCUCUCUGGGCAGCGGGCCACACUGGCCCGGAAGCUCCCAAGCAACCCGUGCCCGUACACA